CGGGAAGUAGCUCAGCUUGGUAGAGCACCACGUUCGGGGCGUGGGGGUCGCAAGUUCAAAUCUUGUUUUCCCGA
rfam:Pediococcus pentosaceus ATCC 25745, complete genome.